UUUUUGUUCGUGUUCAGCGAAGUGAAAGGUUUCUAUUUCAAGUUAAUGCUACAAAGUUAGAAUUCUUAGAAUGAAAAGAGAUUUUGUCCAAAGGCUUGAAAUAUAGCACGCGUUAAUAAGCCAGUCUUCCGGAGCACAUGAUAUCGAUUAGACAGUUCCAUGAAAGUCAACAAGUUAUACUUAAUCCAACAAGAACAACAAGAAAAUAACCCAAGAAAAUCGUAGAAAAGAAAGAAACAAGUUGUUUUUUUCCCGGUCACGGUCACGUGACACAUGAACACGAGAAGCAGUUUUUAGAACUUCCCUUUUGAGAAGUGAAUAGCAUCUGAGGAUAGAAGUAAUCUGUAUGAACAUAAUGAAUAUACUUGGUAUCAUCACUCUGUUGAUGUCAUUGACUAUCUUCGUAGAGUCAGACCAUCCGUCCUCGGGCCUUGUUUCCGUUAACAUACCACUUGAUGUACCUGAUGAAAGCAUAUUUUGGGUCAUUUGGUCAAGCAAUUGGAAAAAAGAUUGGAACGAAGCAAAGAUUUGGUGUGAAAUUAAUAAAACUGGUACACUUGCUAUUUUGGGCAGUAAUGGGAAACGGACAGCAAUACAGAAUAUUAUUACUAAGCAUAAUGCCAAUGACGUAGAAUUCUGGGUUGGACUGCAAUACAACAAAACUCUUGAUCAGCUUAAAUGGGUUAACGGGAAUUCUGCAAAUCUUAACAAAGGACUUAACCAAAAUACUAGCCACAACGAAUGCUAUUAUGUAAAGAAUGAUGUUAAAGAGUUUUUCAAAAAGGAUUGUACAGAAAGAAUAAAUGGACUGGUUUGUGAGGUUCCAAGCUCCACAUCACACCCAGGUAAAAAAAAAAGACUAUUUAAAAACACAAUA